AGAGUUUGAUCAUGGCUCAGAACGAACGCUGGCGGCAGGCUUAACACAUGCAAGUCGAGCGCUCAGCAAUGAGAGCGGCGCACGGGUGAGUAACACGUGGGAACGUGCCCUUUGGUUCGGAAUAACUCAGGGAAACUUGAGCUAAUACCGGAUAAGCCCUUACGGGGAAAGAUUUAUCGCCAUUGGAGCGGCCCGCGUCCGAUUAGCUAGUUGGUGAGGUAAAGGCUCACCAAGGCAACGAUCGGUAGCUGGUCUGAGAGGACGACCAGCCACACUGGGACUGAGACACGGCCCAGACUCCUACGGGAGGCAGCAGUGGGGAAUCUUGGACAAUGGGGGAAACCCUGAUCCAGCCAUGCCGCGUGAGUGAUGAAGGCCCUAGGGUUGUAAAACUCUUUCGGCGGGGACGAUAAUGACGGUACCCGCAGAAGAAGCUCCGGCUAACUUCGUGCCAGCAGCCGCGGUAAUACGAAGGGGGCUAGCGUUGUUCGGAAUUACUGGGCGUAAAGCGCGCGCAGGCGGUUCUUCAAGUCAGAGGUGAAAGCCCAGAGCUCAACUCUGGAAUGGCCUUUGAGACUAGAGAACUUGGGUACGGGAGAGGUGAGUGGAAUUCCGAGUGUAGAGGUGAAAUUCGUAGAUAUCUGCAGGAACACCCGUGGCGAAAGCGGCGAGCUGGAUCACUACUGACGCUGAGGAACGAAAGCUAGGGGAGCAAACAGGAUUAGAUACCCUAGUAGUCC
rnacentral:rRNA from 1 species